rnacentral:rRNA from 1 species
UACGGAGGGUGCGAGCGUUGUCCGGAAUCACUGGGCGUAAAGGGCGCGUAGGCGGCCUGAUAAGUAGGGGGUGAAAUCCUGAGGCUUAACCUCAGGGCUGCCUUCUAAACUGUCGGGCUCGAGCACAGUAGAGGCAGGGAAUUCCCGGUGUAGCGGUGGAAUGCGUAGAGAUCGGGAAGAACAUCAGUGGCGAAGGCGGCCUGCUGGGCUGUUGCUGACGCUGAGGCGCGACAGCGUGGGGAGCAAACAGG